GGGGAUCUUCGGAGCCCUGUACCGACCCCUCCCGAGGGGUCUCUAGCUGACGGAAGACAGGAA
rnacentral:ncRNA from 1 species